rnacentral:rRNA from 1 species
CGGACAGAUGGGAGCUUGCUCCCUGAUGUUAGCGGCGGACGGGUGAGUAACACGUGGGUAACCUGCCUGUAAGACUGGGAUAACUCCGGGAAACCGGGGCUAAUACCGGAUGCUUGUUUGAACCGCAUGGUUCAAACAUAAAAGGUGGCUUCGGCUACCACUUACAGAUGGACCCGCGGCGCAUUAGCUAGUUGGUGAGGUAACGGCUCACCAAGGCAACGAUGCGUAGCCGACCUGAGAGGGUGAUCGGCCACACUGGGACUGAGACACGGCCCAGACUCCUACGGGAGGCAGCAGUAGGGAAUCUUCCGCAAUGGACGAAAGUCUGACGGAGCAACGCCGCGUGAGUGAUGAAGGUUUUCGGAUCGUAAAGCUCUGUUGUUAGGGAAGAACAAGUACCGUUCGAAUAGGGCGGUACCUUGACGGUACCUAACCAGAAAGCCACGGCUAACUACGUGCCAGCAGCCGCGGUAAUACGUAGGUGGCAAGCGUUGUCCGGAAUUAUUGGGCGUAAAGGGCUCGCAGGCGGUUCCUUAAGUCUGAUGUGAAAGCCCCCGGCUCAACCGGGGAGGGUCAUUGGAAACUGGGGAACUUGAGUGCAGAAGAGGAGAGUGGAAUUCCAC